rnacentral:tRNA from 1 species
GGAGGGAUAGCUCAGUGGUUUGAGCAUUGGUCUGCUAAAUCAAUUGUGAGUUCGAUCCU